ensembl:miRNA MIR942 microRNA 942
AUUAAGAGAGUACCUUCUCUGUUUUGGCCAUGUGUGUACUCACAGCCCCUCACACAUGGCCAAAACAGAGAAGGUACUUUCCUAAU